rnacentral:lncRNA from 1 species
GUUCAGGCUUCCAGGCCCUGGUGCUGACAGCCCUGUUGGUGGGGCUGGGGAUGUCAGCGGGGCUGCCUCUGGGGGCGCUCCCGGAAAUGCUCCUGCCCUUGGCGUUUGUCGCCACCCUCACCGCUUUCAUCUUCAGCCUCUUUCUCUACAUGAAGGCGCAGGUAGCCCCAGUUUCGGCCCUGGCACCUGGGGGGAACUCAGGCAAUCCGAUUUACGACUUUUUUCUGGGACGAGAGCUCAACCCUCGUAUCUGUUUCUUCGACUUCAAAUAUUUCUGUGAACUGCGACCCGGCCUCAUCGGCUGGGUAUGUUGGGCUUGACUGAGCUGGCCUCAGGCCAGGGGGAGGGUUAGGGUGGGUGAGCAGCGCUUGGGCAGGGCAGGGCCAAAACUGUGCAGAUGCGAGUCAUUAACCAUUCAUAUUCCACAAACAUUUGUUCAAUCCACCUGUGCCUAGGUACUGGGAGACAAAAAUAAAGUUAGAGGCAAAAAAGC